CUUCGGGGGGGCGUUUACCACGGUAUGAUUCAUGACUGGGGUGAAGUCGUAACAAGGUAACCGUAGGGGAACCUGCGGUUGGAUCACCUCCUUA
rnacentral:rRNA from 1 species